rnacentral:lncRNA from 1 species
GUUGUUUUUAAGCUGCCCAGCUGUAGUGGCAGCCCUAGAAAAGAUAUGCAGAGAUUUUUCCAUUGCCACCUCCAUGACUCUCAUGUGAGCAGAACCUUCCUGCUGGAAGUGAAUCACUGGACAGGUGGGGGGAGGGAGGGGUGGAACUAGGUCACUGAGGGCAUUCAGUGCCCUCCUGUGCCCCUCUACACCCCUGUGCAGUCCUGUGGGAUGGUCUGUGGUCUGCUCAGGAAGGAGAGUAGGGGGUUCUGAUUGGCCCCAGAAAUAUGCCCCAUCUUUCUUCUGUAGUUCAGCAGUAAUUCUCUAGGGUGAGGGUGUACAGAGCCGGAGCUUUCCACCUUGGGCCCCGACAUCUCAGGAUGCGCUCCCUGGGUAGUUCUGUUGGCAGCUUUAGCUUGUGAGCUCACCAAGCUUUGUGAGGAUUUGUCAUGGCUUCAAGGGGUUGGCUCAGUACAUGAGUAGAGUCUGGAGUUUGGGGCCUGUGCCUGCCGGUGCCGUUUGAUGCUGAAAGAGAUACCACAUCUGCAAUGUGAGUCCCUCCUCUUCUCUGCCAAGGCAUGUCCUCACUAGGGCUGUUCCCCCUGAUGCAGAAAAGACAUACCGCAUACCUCAAGAUGCCUUUAUGGGCCAUUGGCCCCUGGCCUGUCUUCUCUGGGAAUAUUGUGUCUGGAUGGGUGUCAUUGACCUAGCCCUGGUUUGUGAGUGCUAGAAAGGAGGAAGGGAAGAUGAGGAGAAGGAGAAUGGAGAACACACACCUAAGAGUUUUUCCUUCAAAUUGGAAUAAGCUCCAGGGGCCCACCCACUGCUAUCGUUAUGAUGUCACAGAAAGGAACAGCCAGAGCAGGGGGAAGAAAUUCAUGAAGUCAUCUGGCCCAAAGCCCUCUUCGAUCUUCCAUACCACCAGGAUGGCAGAGGUUGGUGCAUGUUUCUGACAACUGAGCUCUUGAAUACCCGAGACCACACAGCAGCAACGCUGGGGGACGAACUCACUGAGCUGGUGCCCAGCUGCUCAUCUGGGAAGUUCUACCGGGUUCUCACUUGUAAUCAGCAAACCCAGACUCCUCACCUUAGAGACUAUCAGACCAAGCUUCUCUUGGGAUCCUUGAAGAUGGCUGGACGUUGCAAGCGACGCUAUACGGAGAAAUCGCAUCCCAGAGUGACAACGGAGGUUUCCCUGGGAUGUGUUUUGUGCUGUUUGAGCAGGUGAUUUUUCAUCCUGUACCAGGAGCUCUUCUGCGCAGGGAAGCUGAGUUAGAGAGAGCAACCAUCUCACAAGGACACUUGGUGUCGAGCUUGGGGGGUUCUCGCUGGUGAACAGCGACUAAAACCGGCUGCGUGUGUGCAAAGUGUGUGCUAAUCACACUUUUAAGGAAUCGAAGGACAUCAAAGCAUGAGAUCCCGCGACUGAGAUGGCACCAGGAGAUGGGGGGGGGGGGUGGU